GCCAACGGCCAUACCAUGAUGAUUGCACCGGUUCUCGUCCGAUCACCGAAGUUAAGUUAAGCAUCAUUGGGCCCGGUUAGUACUUGGAUGGGUGACCGCCUGGGAAACCCGGGUGCUGUUGGCU